rnacentral:misc_RNA from 1 species
GAUGAAGAACGUAGCGAAAUGCGAUACUUGGUGUGAAUUGCAGAAUCCCGUGAACCAUCGAGUCUUUGAACGCAAGUUGCGCCCGAAGCCAUUAGGCCGAGGGCACGCCUGCCUGGGCGUCACACGUCGUUGCCCCCCCAUCUACUCCUUCGGGAUUGCGGGGGGCGGAUGAUGGCCUCCCGUGCGCCUUGUCGCGCGGUUGGCAUAAAUGCCAAGUCCUCGGCGACGCACGCCACGACAAUCGGUGGUUGCGAAACCUCGGUUGCCCGUCGUGUGCGGUCGUCGCGCAUCGAGGGCUCGAAAAAAUUGCCGGGCUUCGGCUCGACUUUCAACGCGACCCCAGGUCAGGCGGGGUUACCCGCUGAAUUUAAGCAUAUCAAUAAGCGGAGGA